GGCCAGUCGGACCCAGCUUGGUGGGAGCUCGGGUUUCGAGAGGGUCUGGGAUCAGAGAAGCCGCUAGGAAAUGGGAAGUUUGCAAAUGAGAAGUGUGCGUGGAGCUGUGGUUUUAUUGUCACCCCUUUAUUAAACACUUCUGUACAUAUCGCUGUUAAAUAUACUGUCAUUGUUCCCAUCAACUUUGCCAGAUGAAGGUUUGCAGCCCGUGUUUCUAUGUCUUCCCCACCACACGCCUUCGCUCCGGUUGCACUCGCUUAUGGCCAGCCUUGUGAAUGCCGGCUCCUCCCGCCACGCUGAGCACUGAACAACAUAGUUCCCAGUGUCUUGGAGUUCAAGGUCAAUAACUUCAUGGAGUCAAGUAACUAUAAUACACAAUGGCAUAAGAGCUGUAAGAUGAAUGAAAAAUAUAUUAUAGGCUCACAGCGUGGUGAACAAUAAGUUUGGGGAAGUGAGUCCAUGUUUUAACUGGGCCUUAAAGGACAAGAGAGAUUUGUCUUUUUUUACUUCUGUUUUCUGUUGGGGCGGGGUGGUGGAGUUGCAAGGGCGCACAAAAGUCUGCAGUCCAAGGAGAGAUGUGAGAACUACCUCAGCCAAGUUGGAAAGGACUUCUCACAAGUUGCAGGUCCUUCUAGUUGUGGGAUGUGGGACACCGCCUCAACGUGGCCUGACGAGUGGUGCCAUGUCCACACCCAGGAUCCCAACCCUGGGCCGCCGCAGCGGAGGGCGCGAACUUAACCACUCGGCCACGGAGCCGGCCCCACGGGUAAUAAUUCUAAGGGUCAACAGUUCAACAUAUCUUGAAGCUAAAGUCGUAAUUUUAUAAUACUAAAUUUAAAAGCCUCUUCUCUCCUUGCCCAGUCCUCCACUCUUUCUCCACUCUCUUAUCAGAUUAAUUAGGUAUAACCCUAAGGCUGUUACCGUUCUUCAUAUACUAUGUAAUAUAACAUUAUGUCUAUAUAGUGGAAGGUGAUUACAAAAUGGAGUCACACAUGUCAAGGGCACCUAAGAUGGAGCCGGGAUGCCAUUAGGGAAGUGGGGCUUAUGCACGUCUUUACCCAGGUGGAAGGUAAACUUUUGAACUGUGCUUCACCACUAUCAUUCUGGUGUAAGUAAGAAAUAUACUGACUCCCAUGGAUAAGAACUUUCUGCCUUAGAGAUGGCCUUAGCAACCAACCACAUAUAGUCAAGAAGUAACAGUUGUUGCCAGGAUCAGUCACAAAUCUUGCGAAACAACCUACAUAGGUUUGCCAGAAUUUCUCUCUUUUUGCUUUUAUAAACUCUUGCCUCUUUUGUUCUCCUCAGGGCACUGUGGGGGCCUGGAAUUGGCCACCCCAACAUAUGUCUCUUUGGCAUGAUUAUUUGGCGCUGGUUACUUUGCAGACAGGAAAGCAACUGAAAAGUAGAAUUUACUUACCCUUUGUAAGAGACAUUUACAUUGUAAAGGAACUCUCCAUCUGUAAAGAUAUCUCCCUCUCUACCAAGAAGAAGGGGGGAUGAUGUUAUCUCUAGAAACUCUUAAUCAAUGGGGAAGGCAAGGACUAAAAUCUGUAUUUGUUUAUUGUGCUUGUCUGGUAACCUCCUGUAACUGACUACCCCUGCCCCCAACAUCCUCCUUUGUCUUUAGCUGGAUAUGAUAUUUAAGUUGGGGGCUUCAGCCAUUUUGGCGAGUUGCUCAGCUUGCCUGACCUCUCCCAUGUAUACAUGUUAUAAAGCUUUGUUUAAUUUUCUCCAGCUAGUCUGUCUCAUGUGAAUUUAAUUUGUUCUCUGGCCAGACAAACCCAGAGAGGGUAGAGGAAAUGUCUUCCUCCCCUACAGCACAUUUGAGUUUCUACUCAAAUCUGUGUCUCCCAAAUUACAAUUUUUAAGACCC
rnacentral:lncRNA from 1 species